rnacentral:tRNA from 1 species
GGCUCCAUAGCUCAGUGGUUAGAGCACUGGUAUUGUAAACCAGGGGUUGUGAGUUCAAAUGUCACUGGUGGCU